UACGGGGGGAGCAAGCGUUGUUCGGAUUUACUGGGCGUAAAGGGCGCGUAGGCGGUCAGCACAAGUCAGUUGUGAAAUCUCCGGGCUUAACCCGGAAGGCAACUGAUACUGUGCGACUAGAGUGCGGAAGGGGCAACUGGAAUUCUCGGUGUAGCGGAUGAAAUGCGUAGAUAUCGAGAGGAACACCUGCGGCGAAGGCGGGUUGCUGGGCCGACACGUGACGCUGAUGCGCGAAAGCCAGGGGAGCGAACGGG
rnacentral:rRNA from 1 species